rnacentral:lncRNA from 1 species
CAUCCAUAUUCUGAGAUAUCAGCUAUUGAUGAUAUCAGAAACUGAGAACUGGGAAAUGCAAAAGCAGACACUCUGGGUCCUCACACUGGAUUGUGGCAGGCAGGGCAAGACCAACCCAGCCUCAACCAGCUGAGAGACUCCCAUCUCUCAGAGGAAGAGAAGCCCCACUCCCAUUCUGAGAACAACAAAUGAGGCUGAGGCAUUUCUUUGGGGGAA